rnacentral:rRNA from 1 species
UGCGUAGGCAGCGAGCGUUUGUUCGGAGUUACUGGGCGUAAAGGGUGUGUAGGCGGUUGUUUAAGUUUGGUGUGAAAUCUCCCGGCUCAACUGGGAGGGUGCGCCGAAUACUGAAUGACUUGGAGUGCGGGAGAGGAAAGUGGAAUUCCAGGUGUAGCGGUGAAAUGCGUAGAUAUCAGAAGGAACAUCAGUGGCGAAGGCGCUUUCUGGACCAAUACUGACGAUCAGGUGCGAAAGCGUGGGGAGCAAACAGG